AGGGAUCAUUAACGAGUGAGGGUCGUCCAGGCCCGACCUCCCAACCCUUUGUUUACCGAACCUCUGUUGCUUCGGCGGACCCGCCUCACGGCCGCCGGAGGACCGUCGCAAGGCGUCCUCUGGCCCGCGUCCGCCGGUGGCCAACCCUUAAACCUUGAACCAACCGUGUCGUGUGUCUCAGUCCAUGAUUAAAUCAAAUCAAAACUUUCAACAACGGAUCUCUUGGCUCUG
rnacentral:misc_RNA from 1 species